rnacentral:rRNA from 1 species
UACGUAGGGGGCAAGCGUUGUCCGGAUUUAUUGGGCGUAAAGAGCGUGUAGGCGGCUUGGUAGGUCCGCUGUGAAAACUCGAGGCUCAACCUCGAGAUGUCGGCGGAAACCACUUGGCUAGAGUCCGGAAGAGGAGAGUGGAAUUCCUGGUGUAGCGGUGAAAUGCGCAGAUAUCAGGAAGAACACCUAUGGCGAAGGCAGCUCUCCGGGACGGUACUGACGCUGAGACGCGAAAGCGUGGGGAGCGAACAGG